UCGAGUUGAUCCUGCUCGAGGUUACUGCUAUUGGGGUCUGACUAAGACAUGCACGUCCAGGGCACGGCAAAGGCCCUGGCAGCCAGCUCAGUAACACGUGGACAAUCUACCUUACGGAAGGGGAUAACCUCGGGAAACUGAGGAUAAUACCCUAUAGGCGACGAGCACUGGAAUGUCCGUCGCUGAAAGCUAAAGCUAUUGCCGCUGAUGCACCGUAAGAUGAGUCUGCGGCGGAUUAGGUUGACGGUAGGGUAACGGCCUACCGUGCCUGCGAUCCGUAUCGGCUAUGUGAGUAGGAGCCGGGAGAUGGACACUGAGACAAGGGUCCAGGUUCUACGGAACGCAGCAGUCGCGAAACCUUCCCAAUGCGCGCAAGCGUGAGGAGGGGACCCCAAGUGCGUACUCACAAAGUAUGCUUUUACGGAGUGUAAAAAGCUCCGGGAAUAAGGACUGGGCAAGACUGGUGCCAGCCUCCGCGGUAACACCAGCGGUUCUAGUGGUAAUCGCGUUUACUGGGUUUAAAGCGUCCGUAGUCGGUUCAGCAAGUCCCCUGUGAAAUCCUGCAGCUCAACUGUAGGGCUUGCAGGGGAUACUACUGGGCUUGAGGCCGGGAGAGGCAGGGGGUAUUCUAGGGGUACCGGUGAAAUGGUAUAAUCCCUGGAAGACCACCAGUAGCGAAGGCGCCCUGCUGGAACGGGCCUGACGAUGAGGGACGAGAGCUAGGGGAGCAAACCGGAUUAGAUACCCGGGUAGUCCUAGCCGUAAACGAACGACUGAGUGUUGCCGGAACCUCGUGUUCCAGCAGUGCUGAAGGGAAACCGUUAAGUCCGCCAUCUGGGAAGUACGGUCGCAAGGCUGAAACUUAAAGGAAUUGGCGGGGGAUCACCACAAGGGGUGGAUGCUGCGGUUUAAUUGGAUACAACCCCGGAAAACUCACCAGGUGCGACGGCAGAAUGAAGGCCAGGUUAAAGGUCUUGCCGGACAAGCCGAGAGGUAGUGCAUGGCCGUCGUCAGCUCGUACCGUGAGGCGUACGGUUAAGUCCGUUAACGAGCGAGACCCGUGCCCUUAUUUGCCAGUCUCGAGGAGACUCGGGACGCACUAUAAGGGGACUGCAUGCGAUGAGUGUGAGGAAGGCGCGGGCGACGGUAGGUCUGUAUGCUCCGAAUCUCCUGGGCUACACGCGGCAUACAAUGGCACGGACAAUGGGUUGCAACUCUGAAAAGAGGAGCUAAUCCCCUAAACCGUGUCUCAGUUCGGAUCGAGGGUUGAAACUCACCCUCGUGAAGUUGAAAUCCCUAGUAAUCGCUCUUUACCAUAGAGCGGUGAAUAUGUCCCUGAUCCUUGCACACACCGCCCGUCAAACCAACCGAGUAAACUUUGGGUGAGGCAUACUCUAUAAGGGUGUGUCGAAUCUAGGGUCUGCGAGGGGGGUUAAGUCGUAACAAGGUA
rnacentral:rRNA from 1 species